CCGGGGGUUCAGCUUAGUGGUAGAGUGCUGGCUUAGCAUGGGAGUGGCCCUGAGUUCAACCCUCAGUACCUGGG
rnacentral:tRNA from 1 species